rnacentral:rRNA from 1 species
UUAACAAAAACAUGUCUUUUUGAUUAUUAUUUAAAGUCUAAUCUGCCCAAUGAUGAGUUAAAUGGCCGCGAUAUUUUGAUCGUGCGAAGGUAGCAUAAUCAUUAGUUUUUUAAUUGGAAGCUGGAAUGAAGGAUUGGACGAGAAACUUUCUGUCUCAAUUUUAUUAUUUGAAUUUUAUUUUUAAGUAAGAAAGCUUAAAUUUAUUUAUAAGACGAGAAGACCCUAUAGAGUUUAAAUAUUUAAGUAUUUAUUUUUGUUUUGGAUUUAUGAAUAUUUUAAUUAUUUUAAGUAUUUGGCUGGGGUGGUGGAAAAAUUUUUUAACUUUUUCUUUUUAAAAUAUUUAUUUAUAGGUUUUUGACUUAUUAUGAUUAGUUACAAGAUAAAAUUACCUUAGGGAUAACAGCGUAAUUUCUUUUGAGAGCUCUAAUCGAAAAAGAAGAUUGCGACCUCGAUGUUGGAUUAAAGUUUAAUUUUGGUGAAGAAGUUAAAAAUAUUUAGUCUGUUCGACUAUUAAAACUUUACAUGAUCUGAGUU